rnacentral:rRNA from 1 species
AGAGUUUGAUCCUGGCUCAGGACGAACGCUGGCGGCGUGCUUAACACAUGCAAGUCGAGCGGAAAGGCCCUUCGGGGUACUCGAGCGGCGAACGGGUGAGUAACACGUGAGUAAUCUGCCCUUAGCUCUGGGAUAGCUCCGGGAAACCGGAAUUAAUACCGGAUAUGACCCCCACCGACAUCGGUAGGGGUGGAAAGUUU